rnacentral:rRNA from 1 species
GACAGAGGUGCCAAGCGUUAGGCGGAAUCACUGGGCUUAAAGCGUGUGUAGGCGGGUCGUUAAGUGUCUUGUGAAAUCCCCCGGCUCAACCGGGGAAUUGCUGGGCAUACUGGCGGUCUUGAGCAAUCUAGGGGCAGAUGGAACAAGUGGUGGAGCGGUGAAAUGCGUAGAUAUCACUUGGAACGCCAAAGGUGAAGACAGUCUGCUGGGGAUUUGCUGACGCUGAGACACGAAAGCCAGGGGAGCGAACGGG